rnacentral:misc_RNA from 1 species
UUUCCGUAGGUGAACCUGCGGAAGGAUCAUUAGUGAAAUAUCUUCCGCUGUUCUCUCUCGUUCAGCACGCCGUCACCCCACCCAUUCGUGCCCAUUUGACCGGCGGGGGAUACCCCACUCACUGUAUCAUUAACAAGCCAGUCUUGAAUAAAAACAUAUCAUAAAACUACAACUUUUAGCAACGGAGCUCUUGGCUCACGCCUCGAUUAAGAACUCAAGAGACCGAAAGAGCACACUUCUGAACUCCAGUCCCCAUUCGUCAUCUCCUAUGGCUAAGUC